CAACUACAUGACACUUCAGGAUGAACAAGGAAAACAUAUGCUGGAUCUUACCAUCAUUAAAGAUGAAGAUGACGGGUCUCAACUCAAAAUAUCGACGGUCUAUUUUCCUCCAAUGAUACUGCCUGACCAGAACUUUGUGCGUUGUUCCAGAUCACAGCAUCCAUAUCUUCUGCCUCCAGUGUACAGUUGGUCGGAAGAAGAGCAAGUCAUUUUGUGAUUCACAUUGAAACACUGCUUGGAUCCCUAGACGUGGAACAGGGAGAUACCAAAUGGCAGCCCAUCACUUCUACCACGGCAUAAGCCAUCGACAACAGCUCGCCAAAGUCCUCUGACCUGGGUCAGUCUUUCAAGCUACCUUCAGAUAUAGUCCAUCUUCUUGGUGUAUUGUUCCUCUCUCAGAGCAUCUGCAUUUUUGUGUGGGCAUUGCCACUGAACCAUGACCACAUCAGAACGCAGGAGAAAUCUGACCGUGUUUGAAGGAGUUCUUCAAAUGCUUCAAUCUGUGUGCUUUGCGGUUAAGGACUCGGAAGACUGAGGACCUGCUUGUCUCCAAACCCGCCCCACCCACCCCACCCAGUGCAGGUUAAUGUGAGAUUGGGAUUACUCCCGAA